rnacentral:rRNA from 1 species
GACGAACGCUGGCGGCGUGCUUAACACAUGCAAGUCGAGCGGACAGACCAGUUUGGGGGUACUCGAGCGGCGACCGGGGGCGUAAGAGUAGCGUAACCUGAACUUGACUUCGGGACAACUACAGGAAAGUGGAGCCAUUACCGGAUAGGAAUACUUGCUGCAAGGUGGGGGUUGAAAAGCUGAAGAGGUUUUGGAUGUGUUCGCGGUAUAUCUGCUUGUUGGGGUGGCAGUGGCUUACAAAGGCGUUGACGGGUAGCGGGCCUGCGAGGGCGACCGGCCACAAUGGGACUGAGAGACGGCCGAGACACGUACUGGAGCGAGCAGUGGGGAAGCAUGCAGAAUGGGCGUAAGCCUGAUGCAGCUAGGCCUCGUGCGGGAAGACGGCCUUCGGGUGGUAAACCGCAUGCGGAAGGGGCGAUGCAUGUGGUGACGGUACCUGCAGAAGAAGCACCGGCUAACUACGUG